rnacentral:lncRNA from 1 species
CAGCACCCCCUGCCACCUCCCUCCUCCUCCAGCUUCACCCGCUUCCCCGGCGGCGUGGAGAAGAGCAAAGUUGGCGACAGCGGCCGGGGGCUCUGCCCAGGGUCGGCGUGGCGGAGGACAGCUAGUCUCGGAGGGAAAGUAGCCACCAGUCCAACUCGGGUCGCCCCCACUAUUACUUAGGUGAGGCAGCAGUGCUAAGAAGGGGAUACUAAUGGGCAAGGGAUCGAAUAUAAGGGAGGGG